GACGAACGCUGGCGGCGUGCUUAACACAUGCAAGUCGAGCGGUAAGGCCCUUUCGGGGGUACACGAGCGGCGAACGGGUGAGUAACACGUGGGUGACCUGCCCUCAGCUCUGGGAUAAGCCUGGGAAACCGGGUCUAAUACUGGAUAUGACUCCAUGACGCAUGUUGUGGGGUGGAGAGCCUUGUGCGGCUGAGGAUGGGCCCGCGGCCUAUCAGCUUGUUGGUGGGGCGGAUGGCCUACCAAGGCGA
rnacentral:rRNA from 1 species